CCCGCACUUUAUCCAGUGCUGGUUUGUUUAUGUAGGGAGUUGCAAUGACUUAAAAGAAGUCAUUAGAGAUGUUUAAGAUUUUAACUGCUUUGACACUAGAUGUGGUCUUCACCUUUAAUGGCACCUUUUAGCAUUAAACUCUACACAUAAAUAAGCAGUGUAGGCCUUCUCGAGUCAGUUCGCUCCUGCUGCACAGCACCGAGAGGAUUCCGUCAGCUUCUUGCUCUGGUUAUGAAAAAUGCAGAACUUUCUCUAAGUAUACGCUGGAUUUCAUUGAGGAAGCAGAAAACUAAGCCUGAAGACUUACUCUACUCCGUCGCUGUUGGAUUUUCAAAAGUCACUGAAAUGAAGCUGCCGUUUUCCAAAGGACUGAGAUGCACACCAGCUGGUGUUCAGGACCCUCAACAAUUUGUCGGCUAGGUAAAUACACACCAAAAAUAAUAUUGUCAAAGCUCUCAUAACCAGUCUUUAUGUAAUCAAUCGAUGGAUUAAUCCAGAGGUUGGAAGAGGAAGGAAUUGCUGACUAGUGAUGACCCAUCCCUGGAAAUCCUGUCUCUAGUAGUCCUAACAGCCCAACAACAUGGAGAUUUGCUCAGCCGUCCAGGGGAAGAAAAGCUGGGGCGAGGCAUGAGGAAUCAAAGGCUUUCUCAUCUAGUGGUCCUUCUAGUUCUGAGUCCAGGAUGCUGUUGGACUUCAGUGACUUUCAGGGGCAUGUGAGAAGAAUGCAGCUGAACGGGGGGUGGCUGCUGCAAAAAGGCCACAGCAAGCCUGGAGCAGCUGCAGGAGGCAGCUCCGAGCACAGUGCACAGGCCAGCCAAGCCCGAGAGGCAGAGUUACAGACACAACUACAGUGGAAAGAUUUCUGUCUGUCUGCGAAGGAUUGAGGGGGAGCCUCCCAGAGGGCAGGGGAAAGAACUCAAUUACUCACCACCCUCUGCUCCUAUGACUGAUUUCUGCCUUCAUUUCUGAUAUUUAAUUGAUUAUAAACUAACCAGAAAUCCCAAAGGGGCCCUCAGCCUCUGCUGAGGUAGCCGUUUCGCUGGGGCACAGUCAGAAUCUGAGGAUUUUGUGGCUGAAAUGUAUAGCGAAUGACCCGGGUCUGGCCGGCUUG
rnacentral:lncRNA from 1 species